AUAGGCCCCCACAACAUUCAACCAAGGUUCAGCCAAUCCACAGACCCUUUCACGCCAAAGUGCUAUGCCAGCUGGAAGCGUCCAGUUAUAUCACUGAAAUGAAGCCAUUGACUGGAGGGCAGCAGCUAGUUGGACAAGUGAGUAAGGGGUACUCUUGGGAAAAGAAGCAGCCUAAUUUCUGCAUGAAGAGGAUACCUG